rnacentral:rRNA from 1 species
UCGAAGGUAGCAUAAUCAGUAGUCUUUUAAUUGAAGGCUUGCAUGAAUGGUUGGACGAGAUAUUAACUGUUUCAUUUAAAAUUUUUAUAAAACUUUAUUUUUUAGUUAAAAAGCUAAAAUUUUAUUAAAAGACGAGAAGACCCUAUAAAUCUUAAUAUUUAUAUUAUUUUAAUUAUAAAGAUUAUUUAAAUUAUAAUUUUUAUAAAUAUUUUAUUGGGGUGAUAUUAAAAUUUAAUAAACUUUUAAUUUUUAAAUACAUUAAUUUAUGAAUAAUUGAUCCGUUAUUAACGAUUAAAAAUUUAAGUUACUUUAGGGAUAACAGCGUAAUUUUUUUGGAGAGUUCAUAUCGAUAAAAAAGAUUGCGACCUCGAUGUUGGAUUAA